UGGGCUGGCAGGGCAAGUGCUG
rnacentral:miRNA from 1 species